rnacentral:rRNA from 1 species
CUUACACAUGAAAGUCGAACGGCAGCAUGGGUGCUUGCACCUGAUGGCGAGUGGCGAACGGGUUAGUAAUGCAUCGGAACGUACCCGGAAGUGGGGGAUAACGUAGCGAAAGUUACGCUAAUACCGCAUAUUCUGUGAACAGGAAAGCGGGGGAUCGCAAGACCUCGCGCUUCCGGAGCGGCCGAUGUCGGAUUAGCUAGUUGGCGGGGUAAAGGCCCACCAAGGCAUCGAUCCGUAGCGGGUCUGAGAGGAUGAUCCGCCACACAGGGACUGAGACACGGCCCAGACUCCUACGGGAGGCAGCAGUGGGGAAUUCUGGACAAUGGGCGCAAGCCCGAUCCAGCCAUGCCGCGUGAGUGAUGAAGGCCUUCGGGUUGUAAAGCUCUUUCGGCUGGGAAGAAAUCGCAUCUCCUAAUACGGCGUGUGGAUGACGGUACCAGCAUAAGAAGCACCGGCUAACUACGUGCCAGCAGCCGCGGUAAUACGUAGGGUGCGAGCGUUAAUCGGAAUUUCUGGGCGUAAAGCGUGCGCAGGCGGUUUCGUAAGACAGACGUGAAGUCCCCGGGCUCAACCUGGGAACUGCGUUUGUGACUGCGAGGCUAGAGUAUGGCAGAGGUGGGUGGAAUUCCACGUGUAGCAGUGAAAUGCGUAGAGAUGUGGAGGAACGCCGAUGGCGAAGGCAGCCCCCUGGGCCAAUACU